ACAGGAAACAGCUAUGACCAUGAUUACGCCAAGCUUGGUACCGAGCUCGGAUCCACUAGUAACGGCCGCCAGUGUGCUGGAAUUCGGCUUCCUACGGGAGGCAGCAGUGGGGAAUUUUCCGCAAUGGGCGAAAGCCUGACGGAGCAAUACCGCGUGAGGGAGGAAGGCCUUUGGGUUGUAAACCUCUUUUCUUAAGGAAGAAGUUCUGACGGUACUUAAGGAAUAAGCAUCGGCUAACUCCGUGCCAGCAGCCGCGGUAAUAAGCCGAAUUCUGCAGAUAUCCAUCACACUGGCGGCCGCUCGAGCAUGCAUCUAGAGGGCCCAAUUCGCCCUAUAGUGAGUCGUAUUACAAUUCACUGGCCGUCGUUUUACAACGUCAA
rnacentral:rRNA from 1 species